UCUUCAGAGAUGAGGGUGGUUGCCCAUCUCAGAAGAGACCCACUUGAAAGACCCCCAAAGCGGGGAGACCCUCACUCAAGUCUCAGGAUGACGCGACCACCCAAGAACUCACGAGAGACC
rnacentral:pre_miRNA from 14 species